GCCUCAGCAACAACCAAGCAGGGGACUAGCCUAAGGCCAGACCCUGGACCGCAUAGCCGGAAGAGAACACCAGAGGAGAGCUGACGCGGUUGAAGAAAAGAAGGCGGAAAGAUCACCCGCCAACAAGAUACAGAACGAGCCCAGUGCACUGCUUCCAGCACCAACCGCCAGCUCGGUCCAGCCCAGCCCACUACUGAGGAAUGAGGAAGUGGAGGAGGCGGGGCCUCCGAAAGGGAAGGUGGGGCCACCUGGGCAGGGAGAGGCGGGGCCGCCUGGGGUGUGAGAGGCGGGACCCGCAGGGCUGAAGAGGAGAGUAGCCGGGGGCCUGCGGAAGUAACAGAAGCCUACUGGAGCUUGAAAGAAAACUGAAGGUGAAAGUGUCAGUCGUUCAGUCAUGUCUGACUCUUUGCUAUCCCAUGGACUGCAGCUCUCCUCUGUCCUUGGAAUUUUUCAGGCAGAUUCUUUACCAUCUGAGUUACCAGGGAAGCCUUGUGGAGCUUGCUUUAGCAAAAAGAAAGGUCAUUUUGUAUAAAGAUGCAAGUACUUCCUGAAACUCAAGGGUUGGUAUGGAGACAGACUCCAGGAAGGGCCUGGAACUGUGCAGUGGAGCCCAAGGUAUAUUUUGUCUCACCUUCUCACUGUACAUCUGCUUUAUCUUUCUUGCCAAAGACUCUGUCUGCCACCAGAAUAUGGCUGUGACACAGUCCCUAGUUAAGAGAAUAUGGACCCACUGGGAAGAGACAGACUGAUAAUGGUCUUCCUUUAGUUCAGUUCAGUUCAGUUGCUUAGUCAUGUCCGAGUCUUUUUGACCCCAUGGACUGCAGCAUGCCAGGCCUCCCUGUCCAUCACCAGCUCCUGGAGUCUAACCAAACUUGUGUCCAUUGAAUCAGUGAUCUGAUUUUAAAUUCUCAGGAAUGAGUACGAUUAGCAAAUUAGGAUCAUGAGUCUAGCUGUAGUCUAUUUGGUAUGGAGUGAGGUUUAUGUGUGGAAGUAGAACAUGGAAAAACCAGUAGGGGUGACAGACGUCUACUCCUGUGUUCCUGUGGGUGGGGGUGCCAUUUCCAAAGACAGCCAAAAGUGUUCAAUACACUGGGUAUCUUGUUCUAUUCCUAGAAUCUCUGAUACAUGGUUAACAAUGUAUCUACAUUGAAACUGUUAUAAAGUCACAGGUUUACCUUCUUAUACAACCAGCAUCACUACUGUGAAAGUUGAAUUCAUGACUUAAUAUUUCUUGUAAUGUUUAAAAGAUAUAAUAAGCAGCAGAAAGACCCAUUUUUACAUUUGGAAAUGAAGUCAAACAUCAGAAACUGCUUCAAAAGGCUCCAGAACUUUCCUUUUCCAGCAUCAGUCUAGUUAAUUUGGGAAGUCAGCAUACAGGGGACCAGGGUUUCCCUAUGGUGAAGAGAGUAUAGGAAGUGUCCCCCUAGUUUACUGGAGAGAGUCACCACACCAUUGACUCUGGUUUAUAAAACUGUAAAGUUACCCCUGAAGCCAGUCUUGAGCUCAGCAGGCUUAUAUUGAUUAGUAUUUGUGGACAUAUAAUCUAGUAGGUGUCUUUCUAAGCCUUUUGGAAUAUAAAUCUUUUUUACUUGAAAUGGAAACAAACUCAUAAAAUUUGCCCAGCUAAGCCAUUGUUAAAUUGGUUAUAGUGCAACAUUUAGCUAGGAUUUUACAACCAUUUCCACACUCAUAAAUCUUGGUCAUUGUGCUCAGAAUUUUAUAUUAGAAGUAGGAGUAACUACAAACAGUAAUUUACUGAUAGUCCAAAGGUACUGAAUAGCAAAAACUGUAGUUCAAACUUCUGUUUUUAGUUAUAUCUUUUCCACUCUUAAUACUUCUGAAAAUGAGAGAAAGUCUUCAUACUCAGGGAUAACUAAAGUAAUUAUCAAGGUUUUGAUUGGGAUAUACUUUUUUUUUAAUGGUUAAAGAGGAAAAACUAGAAAGCAGUUCUUCAGCUGACAUGGGAAGAGGGAGUGAACUAUCAUUUUGGUUUCCACCCUCAAUGUGUGGCCAGAAUUUCCCUGAUCCUGCAUAGGAUAGAAAGAAAGAUACGACCGAGAUACAAAGUGAGUGAUUUUUCAAAGUUACAGGAGUUCAGAAAUAAGGGUAAAUAGCAUGAGGUGCUAUUGUUAAAGAAGACAUUUAUUUCAUUUUAAAGUGGAAAGCUAAGUCAUUUUAUGAAAGUAAAUAUUUUUCUUAUAAGAUGAUGCUUUAGUCAGGGAUACAAUAAACGUGAUAUUGAACAGAUUAGACAUUAUGAAAUGGCAUUUAAAAGUGAAGUCUUGUUUGAAAGCAAGCUGGAGAAAUCUCUUCAUUUGCAAGCUGAGUUAAAA